rnacentral:rRNA from 1 species
GAUGAACGCUGGCGGCGUGCCUAAUACAUGCAAGUCGAGCGAACAGACGAGGAGCUUGCUCCUCUGACGUUAGCGGCGGACGGGUGAGUAACACGUGGAUAACCUACCUAUAAGACUGGGAUAACUUCGGGAAACCGGAGCUAAUACCGGAUAAUAUAUUGAACUGCAUGGUUCAAUAGUGAAAGACGGUUUUGCUGUCACUUAUAGAUGGAUCCGCGCCGCAUUAGCUAGUUGGUAAGGUAACGGCUUACCAAGGCGACGAUGCGUAGCCGACCUGAGAGGGUGAUUGGCCACACGGGAACUGAGACACGGUCCAGACUCCUACGGGAGGCAGCAGUAGGGAAUCUUCCGCAAUGGGCGAAAGCCUGACGGAGCAACGCCGCGUGAGUGAUGAAGGUCUUCGGAUCGUAAAACUCUGUUAUUAGGGAAGAACAAAUGUGUAAGUAACUAUGCACGUCUUGACGGUACCUAAUCAGAAAGCCACGGCUAACUACGUG